ensembl:lncRNA
CUAACAGAUUACACCAGUAAUUUUACGUGUUUAUAAGUCUGUUGGAUGCCCAAUGAACGGAUGAAUGAAUGAUCGAAGCGCCCCCUGACGGUAAAAGCUUAGUCCGCUUAGACACGGGUCUGCAGUGAGCACAGGUGUUCUUUUGUUUGUUGUGGUAAGGUCAACUGAGUUGAUACUAGAGAUAGCGAGGAUUUAAUAUGGAAUCGACCAGUUUGAAAGUCAUCCCAUGGAUGUCACCGACCACGCCUACAUCUUGGCUCCUCACUUCAUCAACACCGCUGUGGUCUGUCGUCUUCACAGUACUCUGGGUCUGCAACAUCUGGCCCCCAUGGCUGCUCCCACCAUCUGUGCCUCCGUGGAGUCUCUGCUUGUCUGCCUGCCUCUGCCUGCACUCUCUCCAGCCCUUCUCCAGCUCCUCGCCCUCUUCUAAAGCCUCCACCCUCUUUCCUGUAUCUGUUUAGUCAUUUUUGUUUCCAGGAGGGGGCGUUAUGUCACAGACUUUCAGUUAAUUUUCAUCUUCAUGAACUAUUAUGAUCUCAUGGACUUCUGAUUGGUUAUCUUCAAUCACAUGCUUUCCUUUGUUCAGUUUUCCCGCCACUCUUUAGUUGUCAUGGUAUUCAUUUAAUUAGCUCAGGUGUUAAUCAUUUUCAUUCAUUUGGUUUGUACUUAAGUUCCUGUCUGCACACUCUUCAGGGACUGGUAUUGCUUGUGUUCUACCAACCUCUUAUGCUAUUUCGUAUCUUUGAGUUUGAUAAACCCUGUUUGAUUUAUUCAUCAUCUUUAUCUUUAUCUUGGACUACACGUAACAAUUUCUGUGGUUGUGUCAUUUAAACAUUAUAUCUAAUAUCUGAAGAUUUCUGAGGCUUUUAUAAGUACAUUUCUGUACUUUUGCUCCUUGAUUGUGCAACGAGAAUAGGUGUUAUAGUUUAGGAAAAAUAUUUGUUUGAUGUAUUUUUUCCCUGCAAUAACUUGAGUAACAGGGUUAAAGGUUAAGCUUGUAAUCAACAAUAUCAUUUGUUUAAAAAGGGAGAAAAAAAGAGUACAGUUUGUUUAUUUUGUUUAAUACUGUAGUUCAUCAAACAUAUGUACUUCUCAAAAUAAAAAAAAACACAAAAAAAAAAAAAUGGUGUUA